UACAGAGGUCUCAAGCGUUGUUCGGAUUCAUUGGGCGUAAAGGGUGCGUAGGCGGCGCGGUAAGUCGGGUGUGAAAUCUCGGAGCUUAACUCCGAAACUGCAUUCGAUACUGCCGUGCUUGAGGACUGGAGAGGAGACUGGAAUUUACGGUGUAGCGGUGAAAUGCGUAGAUAUCGUAAGGAAGACCAGUGGCGAAGGCGGCUCUCUGGACAGUUCCUGACGCUGAGGCACGAAGGCCAGGGGAGCAAACGGG
rnacentral:rRNA from 1 species